UCCCUGGUGGCUUAGACGGUAAAGCGUUUGCCUACAAUGCAGGAGACCUGGGUUCAAUCUCUGGUUCAGGAA
rnacentral:tRNA from 1 species